AAAGGAGAGGGAGGGAGAAAGGAGAGGGAGGGAGAAAGGAGAGGGAGGGAGAAAGGAGAGGGAGGAAGAAAGAAGAGGGAGGAAGAAAGAGAAUGUUAUUAAAAUUUACAGUCAACUGUCUAUGUUGAUCAUGUAAUCAAUCUGCUUAGCUGUAGGCUGUAGGGAGGGAGAGAGAGGAAACAUAUCUAAGUUGUAGAAUUGUAUCUGCGUGUGAGGAUCUGCGUGUGAGGAUCUGCGUGUGAGGAUCUGCGUGUGAGGAUCUGCGUGUGUAGUUGAGCGUGGAUGUUUCUGUAACUUACUGAGAAAAUUCCAUUAAAAACUCAGUCGUCUCCGACAAGCGCCAGUCUCAUACUGCCCGGGGCAUCGCUUCAUAUUUUAGCAAUAAAAACGCCCGGUCAAAAAAAGUGUGAUUACAGGUGCACAGACUAUGACCGGUCUGCUAGGAGGUGUCUGGGUACAUGUCUGUGUGUCUGGGAAACUCUUACGGUUCAGUUUGGUGAAGCUGAACAUGCCGGUCUGCUAGGAGGUGUCUGGGUACAUGUCUGUGUGUCUGGGAAACUCUUACGGUUCAGUCUGGUGAAGCUGAACAUGCCGGUCUGCUAGGAGGUGUCUGGGUACAUGUCUGUGUGUCUGGGAAACUCUUACGGUUCAGUCUGGUGAAGCUGAACAUGCCGGUCUGCUAGGAGGUGUAUUGGUACAUGUCUGUGUGUCUGGGAAACUCUUACGGUUCAGUCUGGUGAAGCUGAACAUGCCGGUCUGCUAGGAGGUGUCUGGGUACAUGUCUGUGUGUCUGGGAAACUCUUACGGUUCAGUCUGGUGAAGCUGAACAUGCCGGUCUGCUAGGAGGUGUCUGGGUACAUGUCUGUGUGUCUGGGAAACUCUUACGGUUCAGUCUGGUGAAGCUGAACAUGCCGGUCUGCUAGGAGGUGUCUGGGUACAUGUCUGUGUGUCUGGGAAACUCUUACGGUUCAGUCUGGUGAAGCUGAAC